AGNAUGCCUAAUACAUGCAAGUCGAGCGAAUCUUUGGGAGCUUGCUCCCAUUGGUUAGCUGUGCGGACGGGUGAGUAACACGUGGGCAACCUGCCUGUAAGACUGGGAUAACUUCGGGAAACCGGAGCUAAUACCAGGAUAAUCCUUUUCCUCACAUGAGUGAAAAGCUGAAAGUCAGGUUUCGGCUGACACUUACAGAUGGGCCCGCGGCGCAUUAGCUAAGUUAGGUGAGGUAACGGCUACACCAAGGCGACGAUAGCGUAGCCGACCUGAGAGGGUGAUCGGCCACACUGGGACUGAGACACGGCCCAGACUACCUACGGGAGGCAGCAGAGGGAAU
rnacentral:rRNA from 1 species